GACAGAGGGUGCAAACGUUGUUCGGAAUUACUGGGCGUAAAGCGCGUGUAGGCGGCUUUGCAAGUCGGAUGUGAAAGCCCACGGCUCAACCGUGGAAGUGCAUCCGAAACUGCAUGGCUGGAGUCUCGGAGAGGAAGGUGGAAUGCUUGGUGUAGAGGUGAAAUUCGUAGAUAUCAAGCAGAACACCUGCGGCGAAGGCAGCCAUCUGGACCGACACUGACGCUGAGGCGCGAAAGCGUGGGGAGCAAACAGG
rnacentral:rRNA from 1 species